rnacentral:rRNA from 1 species
GAACUGUGCGAACGUUAUUCGGAAUCACUGGGCUUAAAGGGUGCGUAGGCGGUCCGUCCAGUCAGGUGUAAAAUCCCCCGGCUCAACCGGGGAACAGCGCUUGAAACUAGCGGGCUGGAGUGAGGCAGGGGUAUGUGGAACUUCCGGUGGAGCGGUGAAAUGUGUAGAUAUCGGAAGGAACGCCGGUGGCGAAAGCGGCAUACUGGGCCUUGUCUGACGCUGAGGCACGAAAGCUAGGGGAGUGAACGGGAUUAGAUACCCCGGUAAUCCUAGCCGUAAACACUGAGCACUGGAGGGGAGGGGUUUCGGCCUUUUCCCUCGCAGCGAAAGCGUUAAGUGCUCCGCCUGGGGAGUAUAGUCGCAAGGCUG